CUCCCUCCUCGUAAUAUGUUCACCUGAAAGUUCUAAUCAAUCUUCCACGGUCUAUCUCGCAUGUUCUGUUCCAGUUCGAGGAAUCGAUGAGCGUUAUCGAUGGAGCUAAAGCUCAAUUUCAUCGACGAAGGAGAUUUACAUAGAGAUGGAUAGAGGACUUCCAGGUUUUUGCCUCUCUUUCUAGAGCUGAUCAUGGUGGAAACGAAGCUUUUGCAAAUGGUACAAAAACGAUGAAACUACUAACAACAGAUGCAAGUUACACUGCGAGCAUAAAUGGAAAUGGCCCCGGGACGACUCCAAUGAAGUGCCGUUUGCAACUGGUCGCUGCUGGUCGAGAAAAUGCGUGUGCAAGGUCAGGGAGGAGUAUAAUAGCUUCGUAAAAGGUUACAAGAAGAAGAUCAAAUGUAUUUAUGACAGACUUUGCAAAAGCAUGUUCGAAAAACUUCAAAAGUAUUUCAAGGAUCAUCCUCACAUAACUGUUAAGCCGAAAACACUUUAGCGUCUUAGCGAAGCGCAUCAACGACUUGACGGUGCUACAGAAAAACGGCAUGCGUCCAAACGUUCGAACAUUAACACAAUAAUUCUGCGAUAACAUUAAUUUUAGAGAAAAAAUAUUAGUAUUUUUCUUGGAAAAUCUAUAGGUGCCCAAUAAGUGGAAUUUGUCACCCUAAAUUCGGUCAAAAAUUUCAAGUACGCGAAGUUUUCUACGUGGCCAAUUUUACUGUUUAAUGUCUUCAUUUAGAGAUUUUGACUCAGUUUUGAGGUUCUAAAAAGUGUUCGAAAUUGACGACAUUCUCCCAAAAAUACGUAUAAAUAUCGAAUUUUUUUAAUUUAUUUUCUGUAAUACCACGUUCACUUUCAGCGAGAAGCUGUCUAAUUCUUACCUUCAAAUUAUGAAAUUCCGUACCAAAAAUUAAAAUUAAAAAAACCGUUCCGAACACUUACACUAUGAAGAUACUUUGGAUUGAACUGGGAGUAAAAUACUUUCCCCAAAAGCGUAAGUUUCCACUAUUGCUACAGGAUAUUGGAGAAAUUCAUUGUUUGUCUCCGGUUAUAAUAUUCUAAUAAAAACAAUAUUCAUAAAAUAUGCGGUGUUAUUUUAUCAGUUAGCUCAUAGUGUUUGAUACCUCUCAAGCGCAUUUGAAAACAGAUACAUGCGUAAUUUUUACUACUAAUUACCACGGUACGAAAGCACAGAUCUCAACUAUACUUCAUAGCACGGACAUAUUAAACCAGUCAUUUACUUUGUGCAGCAGCCUGAUUGUUGAAACUUUAACUGGCUUUAUCGGCAAGAUAAGAUAAGACAUAGCCCUACCUGUGCCGCGAAAAAUAUCGAUUUUCGAUUCUUGUCGCGCCAA
rnacentral:lncRNA from 1 species